rnacentral:rRNA from 1 species
AGUAACUGCGAGUGAAGCGGCAAAAGCUCAAAUUUGAAAUCUGGCGUCUUUGGCGUCCGAGUUGUAAUUUGGAGAGGCAUCUUCGGAGAAGGCGCUGUCCUAAGUUCCUUGGAACAGGACAUCACAGAGGGUGAGAAUCCCGUGCCUGGAUGGCUGUCCAUCUCCAUGUGAAGAGUCUUCGACGAGUCGAGUUGUUUGGGAAUGCAGCUCAAAAUGGGUGGUAAAUUUCAUCUAAAGCUAAAUAUUGGCGAGAGACCGAUAGCGCACAAGUAGAGUGAUCGAAAGAUGAAAAGCACUUUGAAAAGAGAGUUAAAAAGUACGUGAAAUUGUUGAAAGGGAAGCGCUUGAGACCAGACUCAAUCUUUGGUGAUCAGCUGUGCUUCUGCGCAGUGCACUUGCUAUUGAUUGGGCCAGCAUCGGUUCCGACGGUGGGAUAAAAGGCGGAGGAAUGUAGCUUCCUUCGGGGAGUGUUAUAGCCUCCGUCACAAUGCCAUCAGUUGGGACCGAGGACCGCGCUUCGGCUAGGAUGCUGGCGUAAUGGUCUUAAGCGACCCGUCUUGAAACACGGACCAAGGAGUCUAACAUCUAUGCGAGUGUUCGGGUGGAAAACCCUUGCGCGUAAUGAAAGUGAACGGAGGUGGGAACCCGCAAGGGUGCACCAUCGACCGAUCCUGAUGUCUUCGGAAGGAUUUGAGUAAGAGCAUAGCUGUUGGGACCCGAAAGAUGGUGAACUAUGCCUGAAUAGGGUGAAGCCAGAGGAAACUGUGGUGGAGGCUCGCAGCGGUUCUGACGUGCAAAUCGAUCGUCAAAUUUGGGUAUAGG